GACGAACGCUGGCGGCGUGCUUAACACAUGCAAGUCGAACGGAAAGGCCCUGCUUUUGUGUGGUGCUCGAGUGGCUAACGGGUGAGUAACACGUGAGUAACCUGCCCUUGACUUUGUGAUAACUUCAGGAAACUGGGGCUAAUACCGGAUAGGAGCUCCUGCUGCAUGGUGGGUGUUGGAAAGUUUCGGCGGUUGGGGAUGGACUCGCGGCUUAUCAGCUUGUUGGUGGGGUAGUGGCUUACCGAGGCUUUGACGGGUAGCCGGCCUGAGAGGGUGACCGGCCACAUUGGGACUGAGAUACGGACCAGACUCCUACGGGAGGCAGCAGUGGGGAAUAUUGCAAAAUGGGCGGAAGCAUGAUGCAGCAACGCCGCGUGCGGGAUGACGGCCUUCGGGUUGUAAACCGCUUUCGCCUGUGACGAAGCGUGAGUGACGGUAAUGGGUAAAGAAGCACCGGCUAACUACGUG
rnacentral:rRNA from 1 species